rnacentral:lncRNA from 1 species
CGAUUCAGUCCGACACUCUCCAGAUGUGUCGACCAAUUGCUAAUACUGAAACCAAUCUGAUACCAAAACCCCCGGGACACUACAACAACGUUCGCCUAAAGAGUGUAACUCUCAUCCCAAAGAGUGUAAUUUCUGUCUCAAAGAGUAUAACUUUUAUAUAAAAUAGUGCAAAAAUUAUUUAAAACAAUGUAAUUUUAUUUUAAUAGUGCAAUUUCUUCUUCUUCUUCAUUCUUCUAUGAUUUUUAAUCUUUCCUGUAGAAAAAAAAUAUUUUUUUAUUUUUAUUUUUUAUUAUUCUUAUUUUUCUUCUCUCUAUAAUUUUUUUUUGAUCACGACCUCUCUCUUACCCUCUAUCGCAACCAUCGCCCUUGCCGGAGUGUAACUAUUUUUCUUUCCCUUCCUCGUCGGCGUUCUUUUGGACACCGAGAAGCACUUCAUGUUUGUCACCGGCGACGGCGGUAGGGACGGCGGGUGGGGGGGGAGGGCGUGCGCGGGCGAGGGCGAGGGCAUGAGGGUGAGAGGCAAGGCGGGCCGUUUCCGCCUCCGCCUCUGCGGACUUCUUCGGCGAGAAAAAAAAAAGAACGCGAGAUUAAGAAAAAAAGGAAGAGAGAAAAAAGUAUAAGGGAUAUUUUGGUAAGUUUGUUGAAAAUUCGGACCAAAUCUACAAAAUUAGAAAAUAUGGUCCAGUUUUACAAAAGCUCAAAACUUGUGGAUUUUUUAUGCAAAUUGGCUAUUUUUCUUUCCACCGUAUCUUUCUACCGUAGUGUUGAAUUGGACGAAAUAGGAUCAGUUUGCUAAUUAAUAUUUUUUAAAAAAUAUUUUGUAAAUUAUAAAUUUUUAAUUGUCAAUUAAAAAAGGGAAAACUUCAAAUACCCCUAUGUGGUUUCACAUUUUCUCACUUUAGUACCCUAUAGUUUAAAGUGUAUCAAUUUAAUUAGUGCCAUAUGGUUUUAUUUUUAUCUUUUUAUUAUUGAUUCUACUAAUUUUUUUCAUUAAAUCAGUGACAAAGUUAAAAGUAAAGGGUACUAAAGUGAAUAUUAGAUAAAUAUAGGUGGGGUAUCUGGAGUUUUUUGUGUAUAAUUUAACGAAAUAUUAACGAAGAAGCCGACGAAGAGAUAAAAAUGAAACCACAGGAUACUAACCUGAUAUACUUUAAACCGCAGGGUACUAAAAUGAGAAAGUACGAAAUCACAUAGAGGGUAUUUGAAGUUUACCCAUUAAAAGAAAGUGUGCCAUUUUACUAGGUACAAUGCGUAUAGACAUCCAAAAUUUUAUUCGAAUCCAAAUUCGAACGAAUCAGAUUUAUUCGAUGCUAAAUGGAUAUUGUUUUGAAUAUGGAUACAAAAAAUAAAAAUCCGACGGAUAUGGAUUCGGAUAUGAAUAUUGAUUUUAUCCGACCCGAACCCAAACCUGAACCCGAAUCCCAACCCGAUCAGAACAUGAAUUUAUUUUUCAUUAUAUAUAAUAUGCAUAUAAAAAUUUGAUAUUAUAUUUAAAUUUGUAUUUUAAAAAUUUAGAUUUAAUAUAAUAUAUUUUGAAAUAUUGACAAAAAAAAUAAUUGUUUCGGAUUCGAAUUUUGAAUUUUUGGUCGGAUUUGGAUUUUGAAUUUUUGGUGAGAUUCGGAUUCGUAUUUGGAUAUGAAUUUUUAAAAUUCGUCCGAUUUGAAUUCGAGUUUAGAUUUCGGAUUUAUGAGUUGGGUUCGGGUUGAGGUUUUUGAAA